rnacentral:miRNA from 1 species
GCCUGUCUUCAAGGAGCUUACACUCUGGCUGGGGAGCAGGACGACAGGCAUAAAGACAACUGGCAAUGUAGGCAGUAGAACAGCAGUGUC